GCGGGUGUAGCUCAGUGGUAGAGCACAGCCAAUCGAAGCUGAUGUCGUGGGUUCGAACCCCAUCGCCCGCU
rnacentral:tRNA from 1 species